rnacentral:misc_RNA from 1 species
UCCGGUUUGGCACCGGCAGUCCCUCGAGAGUCCUCAGCUUUACCUGCUAGCAACACGGGGCGGGGGUUGCGCUCGUUGCGGGACUUAACCCAACAUCUCACGACACGAGCUGACGACAGCCAUGCAGCACCUGUGCACGGGCUCCGAAGAGAGGCCACUGUUUCCAGCAGCUGUCCCGUGCAUGUCAAGCCUAGGUAAGGUUCUGCGCGUUGCGUCGAAUUAAACCACAUGCUCCACCGCUUGCGCGGGCCCCCGUCAAUUCCUUUGAGUUUUAGCCUUGCGGCCGUACUCCCCAGGCGGGGCGCUUAAUGCGUUAGCUGCGGCACGGAACUCGUGGAAUGAGCCCCACACCUAGCGCCCAACGUUUACGGCGUGGACUAC